rnacentral:ncRNA from 1 species
CACCCUUGCUACAAACUGCUCGCAAACCGAGACCUACAGGCAGUAUAAUAAUUCGUCUCUCAUAUCCAGAAGGGAAGGGAUUUCUGGAAAUAUAGUAUCGC